ACGCUAAGGUCACACUAAUUGACAUGACCUGUGUAAUUAAGUAGUCUCUGUUUACACACCAGAAGCUCAGCCGCUGUGAGGCUGAGUUUGCUUGACAGAAUGUCUUUACAUGUCAAGAGAUCAACAACCUUUCUUAUGUCCUCCUCAGUCACCUACACAGGCCCCUGAUUGCUGUUCAGAGGAGACACGCUCUGGUGUGGCUGUAUGAAGAUCAGGCUGGCCUGAGCCUAUCUGUGAUUGAAUAAGAACCUCACCACCACCUUGAUCCCUGAAUUGGUUCUAGAGUGCGAUCCAUGAGUUUUGGUGACCAAAAGUCCCAAUUUGCCAGGAACAAUCCCAGUUUACACUGUGUUGGCUGGGGACAAACUAAGGACAUAUUCAUCUUAAGCCGUUUUCAUUACAAGGAGCAUGAUGGGCAAGGAAUCACCCAGCACAGAACUCCUGCAGACCAAGGGACAGGAUUUGAAACAGGCAUCAGCAUCCUUGUCACCUGAAAUCCAGAUGUGGUAAAGCUUGAUUUUCUCCCAGGCCUUUGGCAGCUGACGUGUUGGGUAAAGCGAGAGGUUGGGAAGAGUGUCUGCAGCCAAAAGCAAAAGUGAAGGCAAGGCAUAUUCACCAGCAUGAAGCUGUCCACGGACAGUGAAGACAGACAGGGAAAACCUCCCAUGCCUGCCUCUUCACAGCUGGAUUUCCCAGGGUACUUAAUUCAAUCAGAAACAGUUUCCCUUAGACAACAUUUCCCCAGGGAUGCCUUCCCUGCAUCCUUUCUCAACAGGCCCCCGUUAGUCCCCAGAACCUGACAGCACUUGGCAUCUGGCAAUCAAGUAUUUGCUAAAUGAAUGAACAACCCUGGCAUCCCCCACCCUCCACCCCUGUGCCAAUUCUCCAAGAAAACAGCGAAUCACAGAGAGAUUAAGUAACUUGCCUACCAACAGACAGCUCAUGACAAGUAUAGGUAAGACUUAAAUGCAGUCUCCCUUAGUCAGCCUGUGUUCUGAGAGCUGGAACAAGGCUCUCCAGGAACCCAGGUUCUCUGUGCUACUGGGAGAUGCACUAACUAAUAUGCUCUGGCACCUACCGGAUUGUUCUCAGUCCUGAGACUCUGUGUGCUAAAAACUGCAUAUGCCUGUCCAUUAAAAAAAUUUUUUUAAAGCCUCCUUCCACUUCUGUAGCACCCAUUUCCUUCAGGAUCUGGAUCAAACCUACCCCUAUGACUUUUUUUUUUUCCUCCCAGUCUGCCUCCCAGCUUCUGUUGCGGCCACACGGGACCACUUCUCCUUCCCCUCCACACUGUAUCUGCUUUGCCAACUCUUCAUCUUUACACAUGCUGCAGCUCUGUCGUAGCAUAAUUCCUCUUUACCUCUCCCAUCCUUGUCAUCUAAACAACUACUUAACAGUCAAGACCAAGUUCAAAUAUACCUUGCACUGGGACACCGCCCUGACUCUCCCAAAUAGCCCUGAAAUUCUCUCCUCUGUUUUCCCACCAUAAUUAUAACAUUGCAAGCAAUCAAACUUUUGUUUCUCUGUU